AAUUUGUUUAGGCUAUGAGAAACAGACCAAGAAACUUUUUAAGACCUCGUUUACUCACGGAAGCAGCUGAGGAAACUGCUUCAGAUGCCACAUUAUCGCUGACCUAAACCUUACUGAACAUGAUACAGUUUUUCCGUGUGUCAAAACUAAGUAAAUCUUUUCAACUGCUGUGCGUUUACCUGGCGGUGGGCGGUCUGUUUUGGUUGGUGAUGGAAAUGGAUUUCAGAGAAAGCCCAAUAUUGUUACGCAGGCUUUUUCUCUCUGCAGCACGGUCGUACAGACCCUGGAUUGGCCCGAGUAUUUGUCAGUUGCGUGCGAGUGAAAAGCAGCGCGCCUCUUAUGUGACAAUACUCUAUCGCCAGAUGGGGCUAUUGGCUAAAUCAAAGGAUUUCAUUAUUGUACAUGUGGGAAGAUUGCAGCAUAGCCGAAGGUUUUGUUUCACACCAUAAUGCAAUCUACCAGGUGCGCCAGGCCCAAGACUUGUACCUUAGAGGUCGAAUACACACGCAUUAUGAGUCACUAAUAAAUGCAGCUAAAUCUGAGUGACUAAUUCAGAAGAUGUAGAUCGAAGACGAGGUUUUGAAAUGAACUCAAAGCUCUGAUGAAGUACACACAACAAUUGUAGAAUUUGUUUUGUAGCUCUGUGGGCUAUUUAUAAACAGCUGCGUUUCAUGAAACUGCCCUCGGUGAAGGACAACAACGAUUCAUCCAAAGAACUGUUAGCGAGACGGCACUAGCAUUGGUCUUCUCUCAAACUCUAAAUUAUGCACUGUGUUCAUUUCAAAUAACUGACGAAAAAGCAUGAUAGAGCCGGAUUUGAACGUGUUCAAAGGUACGAGAAAUUACUCCGAGCUUGUGACGCAAGUCGUCCUCAGACUCCUCACUGACCGCGACUGGGCCAUGAGCUACGAGCAUUCAUACACAGGAAAGGGAGAAAUCUUGCGCGUGGGCUAUCUGGGCGUCGCGAGAAGUAGCGAUAAUUUCCCUUGGGCGAUGUUAUGGACGCAGGCGCAUCGAUCAAGGCCAGAAAGGAUCGUGUGUCUUUAAUUGUUUACAUACAACAUUUACAAACUCAGUGUAAACGACUAACAAGAGAGCCCCCUCCACCUUUAAAAUAUUUAAAAUGUUUAAUACAAAAAUGGAAAAUAAUAAAAUAUUUAUGCCUCCUCCAUGCUGCAUUCUGUGGU